GAGGAACCGCUUGUGUGAAGAGCGUUCCCAUGCUUUAUUGUACUUGGAGCCUUUGUAGGGACAUGACCUAAAAUGUCAGCUUUGUCUGAUGGAAGAUCACUGAAAUCCAGUGGAUCACCGGCUAGUAAGGUCACUGUUGUCACUGCUUGCUGGAGCACUCAAGAGUUUAGCUUUGGAUGGGAUCUAGCCACCAUUGAUCUGAGACUGUCCCCCUGCUAUGAUGAAAAAUGAAUGGCCAUGUUGUCACCGCGCACGGAUCCAAUUUCACUGCACUGGUGAUUACCCCCGUCUUCCCUCAACUAUUGCUCCGUGUUCUGAACUUGCCAGUCACCGUGAUAAAAUCAACUAGUGAUCUUGUUUCAAAAUAUUUUUUAGUUGCAUUGUUAAGUAAAGGAGUGCUAUGUUGUCAAAGCAAAAGCCCAGUAAUACAGACAGAAGUGACACGACAAAGGAAAGUGCCGCAUCAUGUCAAUCUGGAAGAGCAAUUAAAUGCAAGUCGCCAUACCCUGCUUGACCUAGAAACUAGAAAUAAACUUGUCUGGAAAUGGGGAAGAAA